rnacentral:rRNA from 1 species
UACGUAGGGGGCAAGCGUUAUCCGGAUUUACUGGGUGUAAAGGGAGCGUAGACGGCAGCGCAAGUCUGGAGUGAAAGGCGGGGGCCCAACCCCCGGACUGCUCUGGAAACUAUGUUACUGGAGUGCAGGAGAGGUAAGCGGAAUUCCUAGUGUAGCGGUGAAAUGCGUAGAUAUUAGGAGGAACACCAGUGGCGAAGGCGGCCUGCUGGACGAUGACUGACGUUGAGGCUCGAAAGCGUGGGGAGCAAACAGG